rnacentral:rRNA from 1 species
UAACUGAAGAGUUUGAUCAUGGCUCAGAUUGAACGCUGGCGGCAAGCCUAACACAUGCAAGUCGAGCGGCAGCGAAAUAAAGAAAUUGCAAAAUUUUUUUAUUGUCGGCAAGCGGCGAACGGGUGAGUAAUAUCUGGGGAUCUGCCUUUUGGAGGGGGAUAACUGUUGGAAACGACAGCUAAUACCGCAUAAURUCUUUUUUUAAGAUUAAAGUAGGGGAUUUUAUUUUUUAUAUAAAACCUUAUACCAUUAGAUGAACCCAGAUGGGAUUAGCUAGUAGGUAGGGUAAAAGCCUACCUAGGCAACGAUCCCUAGCUGGUCUGAGAGGAUGAUCAGCCACACUGGAACUGAGACACGGUCCAGACUCCUACGGGAGGCAGCAGUGGGGAAUAUUGCACAAUGGGCGAAAGCCUGAUGCAGCUAUGCCGCGUGUAUGAAGAAGGCCUUAGGGUUGUAAAGUACUUUCAACAAGAAAGAAAAGAUAAAAUCUAAUAUAUUUUAUCAUUGACGUUACUUGUAAAAGAAGCACCGGCUAACUCCGUGCCAGCAGCCGCGGUAAUACGGAGGGUGCGAGCGUUAAUCGGAAUUACUGGGCGUAAAGAGCACGUAGGCGGUUAAUUAAGUCAGAUGUGAAAUCCCUAAGCUUAACUUAGGAACUGCAUUUGAAACUAAUUAGCUUGAGUUUCGUAGAGGGGGGUAGAAUUCCAGGUGUAGCGGUGAAAUGCGUAGAUAUCUGGAGGAAUACCAGUGGCGAAGGCGGCCCCCUGGACGAAUACUGACGCUCAGGUGCGAAAGCAUGGGGAGCAAACAGGAUUAGAUACCCUGGUAGUCCAUGCCGUAAACGAUGUCGACUUGGAGGUUGUAAGCUUGACUUAUAACUUUCGUAGCUAACGCGUUAAGUCGACCGCCUGGGGAGUACGACCGCAAGGUUAAAACUCAAAUGAAUUGACGGGGGCCCGCACAAGCGGUGGAGCAUGUGGUUUAAUUCGAUGCAACGCGAAAAACCUUACCUGGUCUUGACAUCCAUGAAAUUUAAUAGAGAUAUUUUAGUGCCUUCGGGAAUCAUGAGACAGGUGCUGCAUGGCUGUCGUCAGCUCGUGUUGUGAAAUGUUGGGUUAAGUCCCGCAACGAGCGCAACCCUUAUCCUUUGUUGCCAUCAGUUAGGCUGGGAACUCAAAGGAGACUGCCGGUGAUAAACCGGAGGAAGGUGAGGACGACGUCAAGUCAUCAUGGCCCUUACGACCAGGGCUACACACGUGCUACAAUGGUAUAUACAAAGGGAAGCAUCCUCGUAAGAGUAAGCGGAUCUCAUAAAAUAUAUCUUAGUUCGGAUUGGAGUCUGCAACUCGACUCUAUGAAGUCGGAAUCGCUAGUAAUCGUAGAUCAGAAUGCUACGGUGAAUACGUUCCCGGGCCUUGUACACACCGCCCGUCACACCAUGGAAGUGGGUUGUAAAAGAAGUAAGUUGCUUAACCUUUUACAGGAGGGCGCUUACCACUUUGUGAUUCAUAACUGGGGUGAAGUCGUAACAAGGUAACCGUAGGGGAACCUGUGGUUGGAUCACCUCCUUU